ACUCCGCUUGGAGUCCACGCAGACACUGCGCCCGCGCCAAGGUUGCCUGGACAGGGAGGGCGGGGAAGCGGGAGCACCGCAUCCAUUUCAUUCAUGAUUUUCUCCUCUCGGAAGCCCCGAGGCCCGGGCCGCGCCGCUACGGCGGCCGUCAGAGGGACCCCGGCAGGGCCGUGAGCACCGAACCCGGUGCAGGAGCGACAGGCAGACAGCUGAGGAAUACCAUGGGGAGCAUCGUUUUCUGUUUGCAUUACUGUUGGAUCCCAAGUGUCAUGGACCG
ensembl:lncRNA